rnacentral:rRNA from 1 species
AUGGCUCAGCUCCUCCCUCUCUCCUCCGCUGCUCCCAGCUUCCGUCUCGCCGCGACGCCAGGCAAUGGUGUCCCCCGGUUGUCCGUGACGUCAGCCCGCUCUGCUGCUCGUGUGAGCAGGAGGAGCAUGAGGCUCAAGUCCCUGCGCGUCAGGUGCGAGCAGGGGUCCAAGGGCGGCCCCGGGCUGGACGUGUGGCUCAGCCGCGGCGCCAUGCUCGCCUUCUUCGGGGCGGUCGGCGUGGAGCUCACUACCGGCAAAGGGGUGCUUCAGAACGUAGGGCUGAUGGCGCCGCUGCCGGCGUUGGCGCUGGGGCUCACCGGAGUGGUCGGGGUCGUCACCGCAUUUAUCAUCUUCCAGUCUGGAUCGUCGGAUUGA